rnacentral:sRNA from 1 species
UAUUCUGCCCCAUGGGGAAGGAUGAGAAGCUUCGAAUAAGGUUCGACUCGAGCGAAGCGAGAGAACGUUGCCGCAGGCAACGGCCCGAAGGGCGAGGCGCUUUAGCGCCGAGUAAUCCUUCCCCCACCACUG